UCGAGCAAUUCACCCCUUCUCCAUCAUUCUUCCGCUCUCUACUUGUUUCUUUCCGUCAUCAGAUCAUUGAACGAGGAACUAGUAGUGUAGCAUUUGGGUCACCCGUUCUUCAAACCCUAGUUCUCUUCAUUUUCAAUGAAAUCCUUCACAGUUUGAGUCUCAUCUACGAGCUGCUUCCCAUUCUUGUUUUCCGACCUCUGGAAUCCAAUUUUACACCUGGAGAGCUGAGACUCAAACUUCAUAUUAAGUGUCUACAUGUGUUAGUGUCGUGUUAAGUUGAACGAUGAAGAAACCUCAAAUUAUCAAGAUCGUCUUCUUCCUAUCAUCAUUAGAUUGCUCAGAAUAGUGAGUAAUUAUGGGUUGUUUAACUACGAGUAAUUAAUUGCAGCUGUUAUUGCAUAAUAUUAUCCAUGUUUCAGAAGCCAAAGAGUUGAAGAAAGAAAAGAGAGUGAAAGAAUUUUAUGUUCUGAAAUUGGAAUAAGGUGUUAUAUAGUUAUUGUAAUUUAGAUGGAGCAUAUAAUAUGGAUAGCUUUGUUGGGACUUGCAAGAAUGUUAUGAUGGAAUAAUCUUCACCCGUAUGUACGAAUUCAACUCUCUGUUGGUGUUUCACAUGCUUUUACAACUGUGCAUGUGCAUUGUGAUGUUGUUUUUUUAUUUUAUUUUAUUUUUUACUUAUGUCUGAUGGUAUCCUUUUCACUUCCAAGCUAAGCUCCCUUCCGUGUUGAGGCUAUAUCGUGACCAACUUGCGGCUGAUACAGAUUUAGUUGGUUAAUUUUCUCAAAGGCAUUCAUAUGUCCAGAAUGGAGUACCAAUCAUAAUCUAUCACUACAGAGUACAGUCUGUUCAAUCACAACAUAAGUUAGUGGCUUGGUCUCUUUUAUCAGGGACAUUCUUUCCUUUCUGUUUGUUCUUUGUUCUAAUCUUUUCUGUAAAGAAUGUUUGUUGAGGCUAUUCUUACACCCUAACAUUAUAAAGUGUAAUUUAUGAUUAGAAACUAUCUUUUGUAUCAUGCUCUACUACAAAGUAGUUCAUUAGACCUGAACCUUAGAGUUGGUUUAUCAUAUGUGUCCAUGUCU